UAUAAUUUAUUCUGUUGUGCAUAUUAAUAACAGAUUUAUUAUCACAAAUUUAACGUUAUAGUAAUUUGAAGUAUGUUCAUUCUCAUUGCAGGUGAACCGAUUGGCCUAGCUACCAAAAUUAUCAAAGCUGUGUUUGCGAAAGUGGAUCUACAAGUCUCUAACCUCAGUUUCAGCAUUGUCACUGCAAUGCGUUUAUUUAUUUAUUUUUGCUUAAAGGCAACAUCUGUCCAUAUUAUACCUAUUUUCUUCAUACAGAUAGGGGAGAUCGUGGUGCCACGACAAAUUCAGUAGUGUUUAAGCUUAGAAAAUUGAAGUCAAAGCAAGCCUCCAUUAUCUUAAAAUAUAAAGGAUGAAACCAUUAUAAGAACUGUAAAUUUAAUUCCUCACAAAAACAUUGUGCUGUAUUCUAGGUAUUAAUAUACAAUACUCUCAAGUACUUAUCCCACUAUCUUCCAUAUAACACCGUUGUCAUUGUAUUUUUAUUUAUACUUGAUACUCGGUAAUUAACACUACUACUGUUUAAGACUCCACAAGUUUUGUUAAAUGACCAUUCUUUUCAAUAUCUUUAGCAGGUUUCAAGUUAUCUCUGUUAAGAAACUUAUUCUGUAAUUCUUCAUGAUAUAAGAGCAACUACUUCUGAUUUUCAUGAAAACUCUCCACCAACCAAUGCACAAAGUCCAACAACAACCCUUUAAAGGUUCGCAAGAUUCUAUAAUGAGAACCCCUCCUAUCCUACAGAACGAUGAAUGGCCAGUUGUAUGAAUUCCGUUGAAUCCUUCACAAAUGUAGCCAAUACAAAAUUCAGCACCUCCACUACCUGCAUCUUCAAUGACGUCUGGAGCUUCCACCUAUGUUUCCAGUGAAAAUUUCAACACACACAACUGCCUCCAAUGACGUUGCCACCAGUAAAAAAUUCAAUACCUCUUCAAACUUUCCUAGAACUCAUCACGAACCUUUGUAUUGCCGAUACAAAAUUUACCAGUGCCUCCACCAAUGUUUAUGAUACAAAAUUCACCACUGUCACUGACGUCGCCAGCAUGCAUUCAAGCACCACCACCAAUGCCCCAUUUAGUGUUUUCACCCUCCCAACCAGCAGCACCUAUCAUACAUUAACACUGUUGUUCCAAACCCAAAUACGAUCUUACAGUAAGGAAACCAAAAGGAAGAUGCAUCCUUCUAUAUUCUCCUAGUCGGUGCAGCUUCCUGAGUAGCUAAAUUGGAUCAAGGAUGAGUAACCUGAGGGGGCAUGUGAAUGUGUCAAAAUAAGGAAAAGUCCGAGAGUUCACCUCCAUAAAUGACUCCAGGCGCAUAAAACUGAUUUUGCAAUGCGCUUGCUCCAAUUCAGGAAUAAAUCUACGGAUGAAGUGAAGCACAACGCCUCCUUGAUAUGCACGUAUGUCGUUUCAUUGUUGUGGUGAUGAAUGCUAUAAACGCCUCAUUCAUUCAAUGCAUUUUCAGACGAUAACAGGGGAGAUGGAAUCCAUUUGUUUCUCAUACCAUUGGAAGAAAUCUAUGUAGCCUUACUCUAUGGGGAUUAGAGAGAUCCGAGCCUAGGAAAUUUUUUCUGCUGUGGAUCAAGGCCAAGCCAGAGCUCAGGCGGCAUUCAUAUCAUGAAUUAAGGGAUGGGAUUCCAACGUUGAAUGUGUUUAAUACAAAGAAACAACUGACAACUGACCCCCUAGCUUCGCAGUUAACAGAUCAACCACCAUGUUCUUAGUCCCGUCUGGGUCUGAUAUCCCGGUCGAUACAUACGUAAAGAAAUAUGUAUACAAUUGUCUUACCCUAUGACUAUAAACAAGUGACAGGGACA